GCAGGGGAGGAAGGGUGAGAAUCAGAUCUGCGUUCCUUCCCCAUCAGCCCUAAGAGAGAACAAUGCAAGUGAAAUUAUCAUGGAAUGAGCAUUAUAGGCAACAAUGAGGAACGACCACUUUUCUUCCUAAUUAAAAUCUAACGACUGCAUUUCUCCAGUUACUGUCCAGAGCAGCCCUGUACGACCCAGGGAAGACAACAGAGGUAACUUUAAAGGCCAGCCUUGAAUCUAAGGAGAACAGGAAGCUUUUGAACCACAGUCAAGUUCCCACAGACGUCAGAGCCAUGUAUCUCACUGGCAGCAGGAGCUGGCAGCAUUUGCGGAACAGGCAGGGGACUGGAAGAAAGGAACUCUGGCCUCUAACAUAUGCUAGCCAGUAGCAAGUCAACUGGCAAAAGGGCAGGGGUAGGAUGAUUGUCUGGUAUGUACCUACGCUUUGGGGUGAAAGUCUAGAGAAGCUUCAAGUGAAGGACAAUGGAAGGCUGGAAUUGGCUGCCAGAUCCUGUUGAGGACGAAAGGAAGAAACAGCCUGCUAUAUUUGGAGUGGAAUUCCAUGAAACGCCUGGCAUUAAUGGCCACUGCUAACUCUGGACAUCAACACAGAUUAUUUUUACAGCCAGCCCACACUGACUUCAGCCUUUCUCUGAUCAUUUGCUACAACAAGCCUUCUCAAGUAUCUCCCGCUGCCUGUGAAUCACCCACACAGACAUCCCACAAGCACCUCCACUUCAGCCUCUCCAAAGUGGAACCCCCAAUUUCCCAAGUACACUGAGUCGGGAUUUGGCCUCCCGAUUGUGGGAGGUGGUUUAGCAAUCUCUCUUAGGCCUGUCUUUGCAUCUGAUGCUGGAGCUUGAAGUUUGCAAGGCAUCAGGAAAGGAAGAUGGAGAUCAAGAACAAGCUGAAGCCCACCAGCACAAUCUCAAGCCUAUGAGGAUGGACUAAAACCCAUUCUAGCUCUUGUGGCCUCUAACCUUUGUGGUGCAGGUAUCCUGCAGCUGGAAUCCUUUGUGACAAGAGCUAGCACACACACCUGGCCCAGGAACCAGAUGGAGGAUCUGCUGGAGGAGGAUCCAAGGGAAGAUGGAACAGUUACAGCCUCGACCCUGCCUCAUGCCAAUGAGCUGAGCCAACAGACCAGCAUCAGUGGGUGUGAACUGCUUCCCUUCUGCCCACGAAGGCUCCCACAAGAAUCUCCCUUGCGACACACCCUAACCAGAACCACACAAGAAAGGGAAUUUUGCAAAACGUAGUUUAGUGCAGCCAAGGUGGACAUUUCAGGACCACCCACCAUGGACAAUCUUUGUGGUCCUGGACAAGUGUCAACCUUCAGAGCCUCUGUUCUCCCAUCUGUAAGAUGGAAAUGAUAUAGCCAAGCACUUGCAUAUGAAUUAAAUACCCUUAAGUCUGCUGAGUUCCUAGCACAGUGCCUAACACAUAGUUAGUGAUCAAUAAAUGUUAGCUACUGUGAUUAAUCUGGCCUCCCCUAUUCACCUAGCUCAGUCAGUGGCCUCAAAAUCCAUCCCUGCACCCAAGCUGGUCACAAGGUCCUGCCAUUAUCCUCCACCUGAGCUCUCAAGUCAGUCUCCUUCCUUCGUCCCCACUACCAGUACCAACAUCAUCCUUUGCCUGACUUACUAUGAAGCUUUCUAACGUC